rnacentral:ncRNA from 2 species
GGGAACCGAAUGGAUACUGCUUAUAUAUCGUCGUAAUUGGUCGACAGUCUCUACCCGAUACCGUAAAUAUCGGACUAUAAGCAAAAAAACGUGCACA